UAGGACUGCCCUCCCUUCUACUUCACGAACGUAGACAGUUUUACCUUUCACAUCCCUCAGGGGAUGCACUAUAGAAUAGACUGAGUUUUGCAGUCUCUUAUGACUAUUUGUUUCUUUUUAAGCAGGUAAGAAGAGCCCACCUGCUGAGGACACGGUAGUGCUAACACAUAUGAAGAUACUGAGCAAUGAAGGAAUUCAAAAUCCAGGGUUAAUACCCGAGCCUCCAGCUGACACAGAUUGCACAGAAAAAUCCCAUCUUCCUGGUGUCAAUCUCCCACUGGACUGCCAGGGAAAUCUGAAGGCAACAGCCACACCAGCAAAUCCAGAUUAUGCAGAAACGCCGGCGAGCACUGACUACAUAGCCACACUGCCUGACCUCAGCACCUUUGAGUCCAAAUGCCGACUUCACAGAUUUUCCAAAUUUGAGUCUGAGGACUCAGGGGUUGAAUUGCCUAGUGGGGCUAACUCUCCAUCUACGCCGACAGGUUCGGAGAAGAGCUUUGUGCUUCACAGCAGAGACUCGUUUUGUGACUCCGGGGUGCUUAGCACCUCUUCCUCUCCAGAAAUUGACCAUCUGAUAAUGAGAACAUGUAAAGAGCGGGCCAGAAAAGCUAGCCAUGGCCCAGAGAGUGAAAAGCAAGCUGAGUACUACAGCCAGGAGGUAGAUGCUGUGCAGGUUCCUACAGCUUCCCUUGAAGACUUCAGUAUCCCUCAGGAAGGACAAAGUCCCAAACAACAUUUUGACCAAAGUGAAAUGCAAUCUCUGGAAAAGCAACCUACCCAAGAGAUGGACCUUCCUAGGGAAAACACACUUCCCACUCCAGCUCCUGUAGAAGAGCCAAAGACCAUUGCUGACCAUUACCCAGAGACCUUUGGCAGCGUGCAAGACCUUCAGAUCCAUGAACAUCAGCUGAAGAAGUACCCCACAAGUGACAGUCUGGAUGAAUAUAUGGACGAAUGCUGUAGACUGAGCGAGGUGAACCAAGGGAGCAACAAAGUCCUGGGAUCUGGCCUGGGAUAUCUGGAACACAUUUGCCAACUGAUUGAGAAGAUUGGGCAGCUACAGGAGCACAACUUGCGGCUCCAAAAGCAAGUGUGCAGCUUACAAAAAGAGCAGAAGAUGAGCCAGAUAAAGGAGGAGUACCUUCUGCAGCAUUGCUCUUGUGGAGCUGCCAGCGUCUUCCUCAACUCAUACCAAGAGGUGAAAACGUUUUUUACUGGGAGGAGCAGACCUCACAGCCUCUUGGUUCAGACUGGAAACCCUUCAGAUCUUUCCAUCAUCCCAGAAAUAGGAGCGAACACUGAAAAGCUGAGCAGCUGCAGUGGAAGUGAGAGAUACCCAGAAUCAGGAAACAGCCAGCUGAUGAUGGGGCUCAGGAAAUCAUUGAACAAUAGGAGCAACAAGGAGAAUGAGUUCAGAGAAGCCUGUGGCGUGGCUGAGGGACAAGCUUUUCCAUCAAAGGACCCUGCAGUAAGAAAGGGUCUGGACAUCAGUAAGAACAUCUCGGGUGAAAGCCAUGCCUGGGGGAGAAUGAGAGAUCUUAUGAGGAAGACACGGCUGAGAAACCAGAGCAAGCUGGGGCUGUCCUCUGCUGCUCUGAAGAGGUCCUGCCCACAGCUGUACAGGCCAGAUAUUAUGUCUUCAGAGCUGAGGAAAACCGAGAGGAACUCCAUGAUUGUUCUGGGGCAAAAUACAAAGAAUGAGAACAUAUGGCCUUUCUGAUAACCCAAAUGGAACAAGAAAGGAAAGAGGGGAACAUCAAUGGACACAGAACUGAAAAUCCCAGGGUUACUUUGUGCAACUUGCAUACUACAGCUGUCAACAGAGGAACUCUGAUUUGGUGUUGAAAGAGGGAGCAGAGAGAUUGAGAGAGGUGUGUGGAGAGAUGUGUGCUCAGCUAUGCCUGGCUUCACUCCCAACUCUGAAUUAUGCUUACAAAACCAAACCCCAUGAAAACCAUAGCCAGCAUCUCAGCAACGUAACCAAUAGGGACUUUUAAAUAAGAUUUGGUAAAUCUUUUUCUGCUCUGGGUUAGGAACAGAAUCACCUGAAGUACUGAAGCUUUUAAGUUAUCAUUGCUUUCUGGGGACCUUCUCCAGGUGAAGGAAGCUAAGCCUUACAGAAGACAACAGUACCUGGAAAAGUGCCAGACUCCUUGUCCAGGGCAGCAAUAGUUGAUGGGGAGAAUAGCUUCCGCCCUCUAGGGAGGUAGGUGCCAGCAGAGACUGCAGCUCAAACAAGAGCUGCACCCAGCCAGCAAUACAGGCUUGGUGGCAUCCAAAAGAAGAACCAAGUCUGUGAAGCAAAGAUAUCCUAAAAGGCUGUUCCCAAAUCUACCCUUCACUUCUAAUUCUGUGGGGGAGCUCCUUCUGUGAAGGCCUCUUUACUUUGGUGCUGCCCCAUGCAAAAACCAGCUUCCAUGCAGGCUCACUGCAGUGAGCAGAGCAAGGGGUACCCCAGGAAUCAAUCUUUUGAGAGACCUGAGUGAGGGUGCAUUGAAGACAGCACCUCAGCUGCACUGGGCAGCCCAGCUCUCUGCCCUGUUAAUCUUUAAGGGGACAAGGCUUGAAUUUCCACUUUUAAGUUAUAAGUUAAGGACCCCUGGAGGCUGCAGUGGCCAUCUGACGAACACGCUGGACCUAAAAAAAGGAAAGAGUACAGGGGAGAGCAGGGCUGCAAGGAAGAGUCAUUCAACUAUACGUAUGCUUUCUCUUCCCUCUUAAGGGCUAUUCUUUUGGGUCCUAACUUCUUUAUAACACUAGGGCCAUGUUUGGUGGCUACCUUAUUGCCCUGUGUUCACUAAUUUCAGACUCGGGCUACAGGGAGCGUGUCCUUCUAAAGGUCCCAUUGCUGCUCCGGUCUCUGCACACUAGCUCUUACUGAUUCUAGCAUUCAUGCACAUGGAGUAAGAGUUUAGAUAAACUAUCUUUACUUCUUGUUACAAGGCUAUUCUACCCAUUAAAUUAUAAUUGUAAAAAAAAAAAAAGUCACAUAACUGCAGUUUAACCCCUCCCAUUCCCUACCCAUCCUUACUUGCUUGAGAACAGGUUUGAGAAGCCAGCAGGAACAGGCCAGCUUUAGCAGGCUCAGCCUUUGAGUAACAGAUGCUUCCCCUAUGCUGACCCAGAUCAGCUGAAGCCCACAAAACAAGAGAACAGGAUCUGAAAUUCAGAAUAUCCCAACCCAGGAAGGUUGGUUUGAUCUCAGUUCUAGGACCAAGCAGUGUGAGGUGAAGGCUACUCUUAAUUGGAAGGACAGGCCACACUCUGACAGCAUGGCUGUAGUUUGUGAGAAUGACUGGAGGCAGCCCAGGCCUGUUUCUGAGUGCUCAGAAUGCUUUCAGGGAAGUUCAAUAUUACUGUUGUUACUUAACAACAAAAAGCAAAAGUUUGUGCUGACUGAGUUAACACCUUGAAGUAAGUGCUGUGUUCAAUAUUUCAGUUGUCAUUAGUUUUAGCUGCUGCAGGACUCAGUUAUUCACUGUAUAUCUUCCUAGCUUCAUCAAAAGCUAGAAAGAUUUAUAACUUGAUUAUUCUGUGAAUAGUCAGCAUAUCUCCAUGAACAGAGGGGGCAAAAAAUCCUAUACUAUCUUAUACCCUCCAUUAUCCUAUACCCUCCAUUAUCCUUCCAGCUUUACAGAGACUAUAAGGAAUGUGAAUCAGUGCAGAACUGGACUUAAAGUAUUAAGACUAGCAUCAUAAACUGGUAUUUUUUUUAUAACUACAUUCCCAUUAUAUAAUUAUUUUUAAACUAGAAUGAACUAGCAUUUUUUACCACAGCAUUAUAUGAAAUAUAUUCAUGUAUUUCCAGAAAUAUAUUUAUACUAUGUAACAUACUGUAUAGUUCUCUACUCCAGGAUGCAUUGUAAUACAAGCAUAAAAUUUAAUAAAACAUCACUAUUAUGAAAUAAAUUUGCUUCA
ensembl:lncRNA uncharacterized LOC104141786